AAAUGUACAAUAUAAUUGUUUUUGCACGAGAUGUUCCACUCCUAAUCCUAAUCAACUACAUAAUGAACUCCUUUUGCAUAAAUGAUUCCGUCUUCUGGUAUAUUUGGGUUACCGGAAUCUCUCGAGAUGAAAGCUUGAAGCAUGAUUCUGAAAUAUAGAGACACACAUACACCACAAGCAGUAGCAAAGUUUCAAUGCCACCCACGACACCAAAAAAAGUUAAGAUAGAAUAACACUUACAUGUAUAUUAGGUGAAUUCUCCAUAAGCUUGUGGAUGUAUUUAUUAAGCAGUAAGAUAGUUGGCAUUUUCCAUUAUGUCCAUCCUGAAGUCAUAGAUCUAUCACAACAAUAUGCAACUGAACUAUAUAAAGCAUAGCAGAAGAACAUAAAUUAGUACAUCUAUUAAGUUUAUCGGUUAAAUCAUCAUGACAAAAUUCCAUGUAAGAUGAGGCAUAAACUUUAUAUCAAACUGAAACCACCCUUUUAAACAUUUUGUUGACAAAGGACAAUUUUUAUUGUGUGGACGAUAGCUUUAUAUAUUUUACACGCUUCCAAUUAAUCAUGUUGAAGAAAUUUUUGAAAACGGACAAAAGACAAGGAGAGAAGUGAGGAUGCUGAUAUGGUAAACUAGGAUAAAGCAAUAAUGGAGAGAAUAUGUAAACUCACUUGUAACUUGUGACAUAGAUCUUACAGUGGAGAGGCCAGUUCUACAUGACUGGCCAUGGAGCGAGAGCAUGUGUACUCUAAUGCUACGGCAGGGACGCGAGGAAUCUUUUUUUAAGAACAAGCAACAAAGGAACACUGAAAUCUCAGCAAAAUAAGGCACCUAUGACUCAACCUGUCAACGGAAACACUAUUAUAGGAGAUGAAGUUUCACCGGGAGCAGCAACAUUUGUUCAACAGAAAUACUGCUUCUCAUUCAACUAGUUUGGCACCAACCUGCCAAUCAUCCUAGCUGGAUGCUACCACCAAGUGAGUAUAUGCAUGCACGUCUGGACUGUCAAAUAUGUAAAACAUUCACCACUGUUGUGGAGAGUUUACUCCUUUGUGAUGCUUGCGAAAGAGGUAUACACUUAAAUUGCCUUCAACAGUAUGGGAACAAAGGCAUGUCUAAUGCAGACUGGUAUUGCCCAAGAUGUGUAAUGUAUAGUAAGGGCAAACCUCCGCCUCCAAAUUAUGGCAAGAUUUCAAGAAAAAUUAUUGCACCAAAGGCUAGUGGUGUCACUUUUCUAGGAGGUUCAGAAAACCCACGCACAAAAGAUAAUAGUAAAAAAGUGGCAGCAAACAGAAAGUUCCAUCAAGCAGAACUCCAAUGAACCUGGUAGGUCUGUAUGUAACAGCGACAUAUUGGCCUUAGGCACUGCUAGUUCAUAAGCACAAUCGGCCUCUGCUU
rnacentral:lncRNA from 1 species